rnacentral:rRNA from 1 species
GUGAAGCGGGAAAAGCUCAAAUUUAAAAUCUGGCAGUCCUUGGCUGUCCGAGUUGUAAUCUAGAGAAGUGUUAUCCGCGCUGGACCGUGUACAAGUCUCCUGGAAUGGAGCGUCACAGAGGGUGAGAAUCCCGUCUUUGACACGGACUGCCAGGGCUUUGUGAUGCACUCUCGAAGAGUCGAGUUGUUUGGGAAUGCAGCUCAAAAUGGGUGGUAAAUUCCAUCUAAAGCUAAAUAUUGGCGAGAGACCGAUAGCGAACAAGUACCGUGAGGGAAAGAUGAAAAGAACUUUGGAAAGAGAGUUAAACAGUGCGUGAAAUUGCUGAAAGGGAAACGCUUGAAGUCAGUCGCGUUAUCCAGGGAUCAACCUUGCUUUUGCUUGGUGCACUUUCUGGUUGACGGGUCAGCAUCAAUUUUGACCAUUAGAAAAAGAUCAAGGGAAUGUGGCAUCUUUGGAUGUGUUAUAGCCCUUGGUUGUAUGCAAUGGUUGGGAUUGAGGAACUCAGCACGCCGCAAGGCCGGGUUUUAACCACGUACGUGCUUAGGAUGCUGGCAUAAUGGCUUUAAUCGACCCGUCUUGAAACACGGACCAAGGAGUCUAACAUGCCUGCGAGUGUUUGGGUGGAAAACCCGAGCGCGUAAUGAAAGUGAAAGUUGAGAUCCCUGUCAUGGGGAGCAUCGACGCCCGGACCAGACCUUUUGUGACGGUUCCGCGGUAGAGCAUGUAUGUUGGGACCCGAAAGAUGGUGAACUAUGCCUGAAUAGGGUGAAGCCAGAGGAAACUCUGGUGGAGGCUCGUAGCGAUUCUGACGUGCAAAUCGAU